rnacentral:tRNA from 1 species
GCGGCUGUGGUGGAAUUGGUAGACACGCCAGAUUUAGGUUCUGGUGCCGAGAGGCGUGGGGGUUCAAGUCCCUUCAGCCGCACCA